UACGUAGGGGGCAAGCGUUGUCCGGAUUUAUUGGGCGUAAAGAGCGUGUAGGCGGCCUGACAGGUCUGCUGUGAAAACUCGAGGCUCAACCUCGAGAUGUCGGCGGAAACCGUCUGGCUAGAGUCCGGAAGAGGAGAGUGGAAUUCCUGGUGUAGCGGUGAAAUGCGCAGAUAUCAGGAAGAACACCUAUGGCGAAGGCAGCUCUCUGGGACGGUACUGACGCGAGACGCGAAAGCGUGGGGAGCGAACAGG
rnacentral:rRNA from 1 species